rnacentral:rRNA from 1 species
ACGGGGGGGGCAAGCGUUGUUCGGAAUUACUGGGCGUAAAGGGCGCGUAGGCGGCCAUCUAAGUCAGACGUGAAAUCCCCCGGCUUAACCUGGGAACUGCGUCUGAUACUGGACGGCUUGAGUUUGGGAGAGGGAUGCAGAAUUCCAGGUGUAGCGGCGAAAUGCGUAGAUAUCUGGAGGAAUACCGGUGGCGAAGGCGGCAUCCUGGACUAAUACUGACGCUGAGGCGCGAAAGCUAGGGGAGCAAACGGGA